rnacentral:tRNA from 1 species
GCCGCUUUAGCUCAGUUGGUAGAGCAGCUCCUUCGUAAGGAGAAGGUCAACAGUUCGAUUCCGUUAAGCGGCACCA